AACGAACGCUGGCGGCAGGCUUAACACAUGCAAGUCGAACGGGUGCAGCAAUGCAUCAGUGGCAGACGGGUGAGUAACACGUGGGAACCUUCCUAGGGGUACGGAACAACUCAGGGAAACUUGAGCUAAUACCGUAUACGUCCGUGAGGAGAAAGAUUUAUCGCCCUUAGACGGGCCCGCGUCGGAUUAGCUAGUUGGUGGGGUAACGGCCUACCAAGGCGACGAUCCGUAGCUGAUCUUAGAGGAUGAUCAGCCACACUGGGACUGAGACACGGCCCAGACUCCUACGGGAGGCAGCAGUGGGGAAUCUUGGACAAUGGGCGCAAGCCUGAUCCAGCCAUGCCGCGUGAGUAAAGAAGGUCUUCGGAUUGUAAAGCUCUUUUGCCAGGGACGAUAAUGACGGUACCUGGAGAAUAAGCCCCGGCAAACUUCGUGCCAGCAGCCGCGGUAAAGUCUGUACU
rnacentral:rRNA from 1 species